CUUCUCCUCUCUCCAUCUCACUCGCGAAACCACUGAACCCUAGAUCCGCCAACCACCACCGCGAACCACCGUAGCCUCCACUAUCGAUGAGCCACGGCGACCCAACCCUCCUCUCCUUUCUCCGCGAGCCCAGAGCCACCAGCUCCUCCUCGCCGUCGUCCACCAUCACCUUCGCGCUAACCCAGAGCCCACUGUCCGCACUAGCAGCUUCCUCUUCUCCUUCCCAGCGCGUCUCAACACCUUCCCUGUCUCAGCUUCCGGUGCCAAAACUGCCGCACUCUAGCCCUGUUCUCCAGUUUCCGGCCAGCAAUCCGCCAACGCCAGAACCAUCCUGAAGCUGCCGUGCUCAACACCACCCAGUGACGCUGCUUGUCACUGCUGCUCCAACCCCUGUUUCCCCUGUUUCUUUGUUUUUCUUUUCUGUUCUUCAAACAGGAUGAAUCAUCGUAAAAAAAAAAUAAAUAAAAGAUGGACAUGGAUGCGGACUUGCGGAGGAUACCCUGAAUAAACUUUCUAUAUUUGUUUUGAUUAAUGCUGCUGUUUGGACAUGUUGCUGUUUCAUUGAUUUUUUUUCUUUGUUUGUUGCUGAUGAUUUGCCCCUGUGCUUAUUUGGCUUGCUUGAUGCUGCUGCUUGAACCUAUUACCUUUGUUUAUUGUGUUGUUUUGGUGCUAAAUUUUGGACCAUUAUUUCUGUUCAUUGUUCAUGGCUGUUGGAAUGAGCCAGUUGCUAGGUAUUGUUAAUGGUUGAUGGUGCAGUGAUGAUUUUGACCAAAAUUCUGAGUUUAGGUUAUUAUUGCUGCUGGUUGCUUAAUGGGUUAAAACUUAAUUGUUCAUUGCUGUUGUUGCUGUUUGCUGGCCUAUUUGUGAUUUCAUAUGAAUUUACAUCCGGUUUUUGCGUGUUUAAAUGUUAAAGCAUUCAUAGGAAGUUUGAAUUGAUUGGUUGAAUUGGGAAAAUAUGCCAAUUUACUGCUGAAAUGCUGCCGGAUUUUUCCUAACCAUGUUUCAUUAAAUGACAUUAUCUUAUUUGGUGCAACAAGACUCUAUUUGACGGAUUUCUGUGUCAAAAAGAAUCUUGUUUGCUAAAUGGUUUUGGAAAUUUCCUCAUGAGCUUCCUUACAAGUUUCGGUCAAUUCUUGAACUUCAUUGCUUGUUUUAAAUUGUGUGUUAUUCAUAAGUAUCACAUAGCCUUAAUUGAUUUUUCAAUUGACCAUAAACUUGAAAUUCUUUUGAGAAUUUGAGCCUCUUUUGCAUAAACUCACAAGUUUGAAGGUUUUAAAUCUAUGUGGCUGAUUUGAUUCAUUUUAUUCAUACCUAAUUUAUAUUAAGUCACAUAGAUCAUGGGGUUUUCAAUUCUUGUUUUAACUUGUGACUUUUAUGCUUCAUUGGAAUUUGGUGUUUGAAUGUUCCUUGAUUAAGUUGUUUCUCAAUGUUUUAACUUU